rnacentral:rRNA from 1 species
UACGUAGGGGGCUAGCGUUGUCCGGAUUUAUUGGGCGUAAAGAGCGUGUAGGCGGCCAGGUAGGUCCGUUGUGAAAACUCGAGGCUCAACCUCGAGACGUCGGCGGAAACCCUCUGGCUAGAGUCCGGAAGAGGAGAGUGGAAUUCCUGGUGUAGCGGUGAAAUGCGCAGAUAUCAGGAGGAACACCGGUGGCGAAGGCGGCGCUCGUGGACCGAGACUGACGCUGAGGCGCGAAAGCGUGGGGAGCAAACAGG